AAGGCGAACGCGGAGAACUGAAACAUCUAAGUACCCGCAGGAAAAGAAAUCAAACGAGAUUCCCCAAGUAGCGGCGAGCGAACGGGGAUUAGCCCUUAAGUUACAGUGGAUUUAGCAGAACAUUCUGGAAAGUUUGGCGAUAGAGGGUGAUAGCCCCGUAUGCGAAAGGUCCAUUGUAGUGAAAUCGAGUAGGUCGGGAC
rnacentral:rRNA from 1 species